rnacentral:rRNA from 1 species
UACGGAGGGUGCAAGCGUUGUUCGGAAUUACUGGGCGUAAAGGGCACGUAGGCGGUUUCGCAAGUCCGAUGUGAAAGCCCGGGGCUCAACCCCGGAAGUGCAUUGGAAACUGCGAGACUUGAGUUCGGGAGAGGAAGGCAGAAUUCCCGGUGUAGGGUUGAAAUCCGUAGAUAUCGGGAGGAAAACCGGUGGCGAAGGCGGCCUUCUGGAACGAAACUGACGCUGAGGCGCGAAAGCGUGGGGAGCAAACAGG